GUGACGGUAAGUGGGGGUCAGUCUGUUGUUAGGGCUAGCCACAGUCAGGCAGACAUGAGGUACAGUGAGUUCUCUAGAAAUCAUCAGUGUUCCUGCAUGUCCCUGACUUUUCUCGCUUUUGAGAAUGAGGGUGGUCACUUUAACACGGCUGCCCUCGAUAGAGUGCUGGCACAGGGAGAUUCACUGUACGUAGCAGUGAAACAACAGCUGAUCCUGGAGAGAAGAUACAAUGAUGACCAUCUUAGCGUUGAGGAAAUGCCAAAACAAGUCCUGACAGACACAAAUAUGUACAAUGUCCAUAUGUCCGACAUUAAAUGUGGACUCGUCAAAGCCAGCAGCAACGGAAACCAGGGUCUCCUUUCCCUUGCUGAAGAGCUUCAGUGUCUGUCAGGUCAUGUUAGGCAUGCGUUCAUCAUUGUAUCUCCAGAGGUUAUUGCAGUUUUCCGUGACAAAUCAGGGAGGUAUGGCGUGUUUGAUUCACAUGCCAGAAAUUCAGCAGGUCUACCAGACCACAACGGAACUGCAAUCAUGAAGACCUUCACUGAAAUCAGUGACCUGGCUGAGCACCUGCUCAAACUCUUUGCAGAUCGUGGACCUUUUGCCACCUAUGAGUUGGUGCUUGUGUCAUUUGAAGCCGUCGGUUCCAGUGAAUGUCUUCAGCAAUCGUUGGUAGAAAAAGUCUCCAGGACAGCUCUCCCUCCAACAAACGAAAAUAUCUUAAAACUCGGUAAAACCCAGCGACAAAAGGCCAGAAGAAAAAGUAGCAGCAAAGAGCAACAUGCACCAGUGUGCCAUGUUGUCCAAAAAAAAGGAAGCUCGGUAUAUGAAAAAAAUAAGUAUGACAAGUGCCCGGAAUUUGGAAUUAAAAAAAUGGAAGCAGACAAAAAAUAUUCACAAGACAGUAAUCAUAGGAAACGACGGUUAUUGUCUUUCAGACGUUAUUAUUUAAAAGUUCAAAGAAAAAAGAGCGUAUUAAUUAUCCAGAGAUAUAAGGCGGAUCCUGCUUUUCAGAGUAGACAAAAACAGUACAUUAAAGACAAAUAUAAGGCGGAUCCUGCUUUUCAGAGUAGACAAAAACAGUACAUUAAAGACAAGUAUAAGGCGGAUCCUGCUUUUCAGAGUAGACAGAAACAGUACAGUAAAGACAAGUAUAAGGCGGAUCCUGCUUUUCAGAGUAGAAAGAAACAGUACAGUAAAGACAAGUAUAAGGCGGAUCCUGCUUUUCAGAGUAGAAAGAAACAGUACAGUAAAGACAAGUAUAAGGCGGAUCCUGCUUUUCAGAGUAGAAAGAAAUUGUAUAUGACGACAAAGUACAAAUCGCACCAAAGCUUUAGGCAAAAGAAAAAGGAGUGUUUCUAUGCUAGGUACCACAGUGAUCCUGAGUUUAGGUUACGCUGUAUCAAACGCUGUAGCCAGCGCAGCGUAACCAAACUGUCCACAGAUGCUACUUUUUGCAUCUUUAGCAAGAUGCAGAGGGCAUUAAGGAUCAAGCAAAAAUAUAGGAAGCUAGUGCCCCACACCCCCCGCCAUUCGCAGGCCGUGAUUAACCCUGUGAUGGAAGCCGCCAUCACAGCAUUUCGCGAGCUAAUUCGUCAUGGACCAACGUGCGUUUGUACGGUGUGCAACAGAGCAAUGUUUCCUAAUCAGGUUAAAUUGUGCAAUAGGGGAAAGUACACCCAAAAACCCAGAGUGGCCGCAGCCUGCUUAACAGGCAAGUACGUCCAUUUUUGUGACGACGACUGCUCUGAACAUUGCUCUGUUGCACAAGAGCGACUGCAGGAGUGGAUCUGUAACACGUGUGACAGCCACUUGAAGAGAGGACGCAUGCCACCAAUAGCCACCGCAAACCGACUGGAGUUGGCACCGAUCCCCCCGGAGUUGGCUACGCUCAACGUGCUCGAGAGGCAGCUUAUUGCCAAAAUACUGCCUUUCGCCAAGGUUAUCGCUCUGCCCAAAGGACAGCAAAAAGCAGUCCGCGGAGCUGUUGUGUGCGUUCCAUCAGAGAUGGAAGCGACUGUCAACAGUCUCCCAAGACCCAGAUCGGAAGCGCAGCUACUUCAAGUUAAAUUAAAGAGGCGCAUUAACUAUAAGGGCUACCAGCACUUCUAUACUGUUAACAUGAAAAAUGUUUUAGCUGCCCUGGCCACGCUUAAAAAGAUGCAUUCUGAGUAUCAGGAUGUAUCCAUUAACGACAGUGCCACUUUUGACGAGUCGGUCGAUCAAGACGACUCGCAGCACAAUGUUGCUGAUGCUGCGCAGCCGGAGCAGCAUCAGGGAGACAUUGAGGCUGGCAUAGACCUCGAGGAGGUUUUUAGUAGUCAGAACGACCCGGACCCCGAUAGACGUCGUCAGCCCAAGGAAGCUGACGAAGAGGAGGAGGAGCUUAGACCAGGCCUGACUCUGGACACGUGUAUGCAGCCGCCUGACAUCGCGCAGGAAAUUCUUACGUAUGGCGAUGGAAUAUUUAGCGUUGCCCCCGCCCAGGGCAACAAACCAGUAGGGUUCUUCGCCAUACCGAAACUAGAAGCCAUGGCUUUCCCUGUGCAAUUCCCGACAGGAGAGAACACACUGGAUGAACCCAGAACCUUCUCGCUCUCACCUAGCAUGUAUUUUAAUUGCAGGCUGUUUGCUGCUGAUACACGUUUUGCUAGCGACCAAACGUAUCUUUUCUUUGCGCAGUUUGUCACAGAAACGCACCUGGCGACAAACAGCAUGUCGAUUCAAAUGCGCAAAGGCAGGUCCAGAGCUGCAGAUGGCCGUCAUAUUAACAACCUCAUGCUCCUGGACCGAGACGAGGUGCAACGGCUCAUUAUGAGCCAAGACGCAACUCGGUUUAUGCAACCUCUUCGAGGCACCCCGGCUUAUUGGACAAAAACGCUCAAAGAUGUCCACGCCAUGGUCCGGCAAAUUGGCAAACCCACGUUUUUUGCAACGUUCUCCGCUGCCGAGAUGAGAUGGCCUGAGGUCAUAGAGAUCAUAAAAGCUCAGCAGGGAGAACUAGGGGACUUUUCAGAGCUCGACUGGAAAGCGAAAUGCGACAUUCUGCGGAGCAACCCCGUAACGGUGAUGCGCAUGUUUGAAAAGCGAGUCGAUGCUCUGAUGACCAACCUUAUCCUCUCACCAGCACAGCCCAUUGGUGAAGUAGAGGAUUACUUUUAUAGGGUUGAGUUCCAAGCUAGAGGAAGUCCCCAUAUACACAUGCUGAUUUGGAUAAAAAACUCACCCAAAUUUGACGACGCCUCUGACGACGAAGUAGCGGCGUUUAUAGAUCGCUACAUCUCGUGUGAGAUGCCUGACCCCGAGACAGACCUGGAGCUCCACGGAAUUGUCUCGGAGGUUCAGGUGCACAGCAGGAACCAUUCCAAGUCCUGCAAAAAAGGCAAUGUUGCCUGUAGGUUUGGCUUCCCUAAACUGCCCGUGGAUGAAACCUUCAUCACUAGGCCCCCCGUUGUUCGCCCCUCUGGAGUUUUAGACGAAAACCAAGACGAGGCUGCUGCUAGAGAACGGAGGGAGAAGCGGGCAAUCGCUAAGAAGCGAAAGAAAGCCAAAGCCAAGCUUCAGCAAGUUAGAGACUUGCUCAUGGAUGCAGGCGCUUCAUUUAGCAGCUUGACGGAGUUGCUCGACCGAUGCGGUUUGACGCGUAAGCAGUACCGUAAGCUCUUCGACCGCGCCGCGAACAGCAACGUCGUGGUCCUGAAGCGGCAUCCGAAUGACUGCUGGGUUAAUCAGUACAACCCAGACCUGCUUCGUGCCUGGAACGCCAACAUGGACAUUCAGUACGUCGUGGAUGACUACAGCUGCAUCAUGUACAUGAUGUCCUAUGUGUCGAAGCCAGAGCAUGAGAUGACUCAAUUCCUUAAGAACGUCAUCAAAGAUGUAAAACAGUCCAACGUAAAUGAGCGUGACGAAAUGAAGCAGAUUAUGCAGGCCUAUGUUAAACAUAGAGAGGUCAGCGCUCAAGAGGCUGUUGCUCGCACCUGCAGCUUGCGUCUGAAGAGGUGCUCCCGCUCCGUUGUGUUCCUUCAGACCGACGAGGAGGGUCUGAAGAUGAGUCACCCUAUUGGCAGACUCAAGCAAAUGGAGCCGGGUUCGGAGGAGGUGUGGAUGUCGGGCCUGCCUGACAAAUACGCCUACAGGCCUGUCGAGCCGGAGUUCGAGCACAUGUGCAUGGCCGAGUUUGCGUCGGAGUACAGGGUGCUGUACGGGCAGCAAACUGAAAGUAGAAGCGGCAUCCCCCUCUUACACGACAUGGGCUUUGUUCAGAAGAGGACUGGGAAACCAGCAAUUAUUAGAUUUCCUCGCUUCUCAGAGCAGAAAACACCUGAGAAGUUCUAUAGAAGACUGCUCAAGCUUUAUCUCCCACACAGAUCCGAUGACGACCUGAGAGAUGAAGCACACCCGACCUACGAGCAGUUUUAUAAGUGUGGCCAAAAGUAUGGCGUGCGUGUCCGAGCCAUCAUAGACCGCAACAAACAACGCUAUGAAGGUCAAGGCCGGAAGCUUGACGAAGCGUUGGAACAGUAUCGGGUGCACGGCCCUAUAGUUAAUGAAUUGGACUGUUAUGCGCCUGAAGUAGAGGCAGACCGGUUAGAGUGUCUUGCAGAGCGAGAACCUGACGACGAGCGUGAAGGCCAAGAAGAAGUUCCUGAAUACGAAGUCAAAGACGGGAGGAGCUCCAUGCCUAGGAUAGAAGCGCCGCAGUUGAGUCCAGACUUUGUGAGAAAAAUGUAUCAAAGUCUGAACAAAACACAGGCUUCUAUCUUCUACAGCAUACGUCAGUGGUGCUUUGAACUUCUGUGGGGUUGCGACGUCGAGCCGUUUUAUUACUUUUUGACCGGGGGAGCUGGCUGUGGUAAAUCGCACGUAAUCAAGUGCGUUCACCAGGAGGCAACGAGGAUUCUGCGUGAGCUCCCCAGAUUCCGGGACCAUGCAGACAUGUCCCAGCCUGCGGUGCUGCUGACCGCCUUCACUGGCACAGCAGCCUUCAACAUCGCUGGCGUGACGUUGCACUCCGUCCUCAAACUGCCAAGAUCCUUGAAGCCACCGUAUCAAGGUCUUGGAAACGCCCUUGAUGAAGUCAGAGCGGCGCUAUCCAACGCGGAGAUUCUCAUCAUUGACGAGAUCUCCAUGGUUUCCAAAGAGCUGUUUGCCUAUGUCAACUGGCGUUUUCAACAGAUCCGAGGAAACAAGAAGCCGUUCGGAGGAAUUUCUGUCCUUGCUGUAGGUGACUUUUAUCAGUUGCCGCCUCCCGGUAGAGCCAAGCCGCUGUGUGUGUACGAGGAGACGGAGUUUGAUCUCUGGAAGGAUCACUUCAAAAUGGUCAUCCUUACAGAGAUCAUGCGACAGAAGGACGAUCGGGCUUUUGCUGAGCUCUUGAACCGCCUGAGAGUGAAGCAAAAGCGCGAUCCUUUGAGCGACGAAGAUAGAGGGUUGCUCACACAGGCAGUGGCCGACGUCAAGGAUUGUCCAGUUGAUAGGCUACACAUAUACGCCACCAACAAAGAAGUUGACCGUCACAACUCCGCCACUGUAGCCUCCCUCCACGAGGAUGCCAUCGACAUCGCAGCUCAGGAUUACCGUAAAAUUCCUACGACCGGCUGCAUGACGAUGGUGUUCGCCGUUAAAGGUAACCAGCGAGACUUGCCUGACAACAUAAUGGCUGCUCAAGGAGUACGCGUUAUGUUGACCAGGAAUCUCGACGUGGAGGACGGAAUUGUUAACGGAACAUUCGGAACCAUCUCACACAUUGUGAUGACGGAGCGCGAGCCAAAAUAUGUAAAGUUGAUUGGACUCCAGCUGGACAAUCCCACAGCAGGACAGAGAUUCCGCAAAAAGAUCUUGGGUCCCUCAGACAAUCUGGCCUAUAUUGAAAGGUCUGAGGAGAACCUGAGCAGCAAAAAAGGCGUUGUUCGUCGCCAGUUCCCCAUGAAGUUGGCUUUUGCCUGUACGGCCCACAAAGUACAAGGCAUGACGAUGGCGUCGGCGGUUGUGUGCCUGAAACGCAUCUUCGAACCGGGCAUGGCUUAUGUAGCUCUAAGCCGCACAACCUCGCUGGGAGGUCUGACCGUCUGCGACUUCGACGAGAAGAAGAUCUACGCCGACCCCGAGAUCAAGAUGGCUAUGGAAAGUAUGCCUCGAGCAUCUUUCCAGAGCUGUAGACCGUUGUUGAGUUUUCUUCAAUCCAUGCAACAAACUCCAAAGGUUUUGACAAUUGUCCACCACAACACGCAGGGUCUGCCAUGUCACAUGGUGGACCUGAGAGCGCAUCACGAGCUCCAACGAGCGGAUGUGCUUUGCCUUACAGAGACACAUUUGUCGGGGUCUUCUGUAGCUGAAAUUUUUCAAUUGGAGGGGUAUGCCAUGUUCCCACGUAGCAGACAGCUGUCUUACAACAGCUGUGUGGACAUGGCUAAAAAAGAUGGAGGUGGAGUUGCAGUGUACUGCAGAGACUAUGUGCAAGCAGAGCCUCGCAGGUACAUGCAACAGGUCACGGAUUUGGAGUUUGUUGUUGUUAAAAUCAAGGCUCCGGUCAAAGUACUAUUGGCGACGGUUUACAAACCGCCAAAUUUUCAAUUAGGAAUCUUUCUCCAAAAUUUGAAAAACCUCUUGGACUCAUUGGCCAUUUUAAAUCACCAGCCCAUUGUUGUUUGUGGCGAUUUUAAUGAGGAUCUUCUUUCGAAAGGAAAAAAAAGCAUCAAAGACUUAUUUCAGUCCAGAGGUUACACUCAAUUAAUUAAAGAGUCCACCACCGAGAAGAACACGCUGAUUGACCACAUUUAUAUUUCACAUCCUGAUAAGUGUCUUCAAUCAGGUGUUCUCCAAACGUACUACAGUUACCACAGUCCGGUUUAUUGUAUUUUGACCGACUAAGCCUCUCUAGCCAACACAUGAUCCAUAGAAAAGUUCGAGUUUCUGUAUCCUGUAAGGUGUGUGUGUGUGUGUGUGUGUGUGUGUAAUGCAUAUGUAGUUUCUAGGCACUCCUUGAGCCUGGUCAAGGAGUAGUUUAUCGUCACUGUUAUUGUACUCUCUCUGUAAAGUGUUAAUUGACCUUUAAAUUUUUUUUUUGUAAAAAAAAAACCCUUCACAUUGUUUCAUUUUGUCAUAACUUGUCUGCGUGGGCGUUUUUCUUAUUUAAUUGUUUUUCAUAUACGUGUUUCAGGUCACUCAUUCAGUUUGUUCAAUGAGUGCCCAGCUUUUCAAUUGUGUAGUUUUAAGUUAUUGUUAAGACUAAUCAUUGUAGUGGCAUGUGUUGGCUGGAAAUGGUUGAAUCUUAUGUAAAUGCAGUGUAAUUGUAUUUAUUUAUGUAAUAAAGGGCUCCGCAUUAUCUUGUCAUUUACUGAGCUGCUGAGAACGGCGGUCAAUUUAAAAUGUUAUGGAAUUGGCUUAGCUAAUGUAAUGUUAUGUAAUCUUGUAUUGUAAUGUUGCUUUAUGUAAAAUCAAGCUGAAUGUCAACAAGGUCCAUCACAAGGUAAGUAUCUCUCUUCCUUUGAAUUAUUCACUCGCGUUUGAGUAAUGUAACUAAAUCCCCCUCCCUUUCUCUUCUUCAGGCUCUCUACUGUCCAUGUUCAAAAGCAGGAGUAUCUCACAGCAGAGUGAGGAGGAAAUGAAGAGGACCACAGCUGAUCUCGUGCCAGAUGAAGACCUCCAGAAGACUAUAGCAGCUCACUCUCCAGUGAAGACAGCAACCCAGCAGAAGAACGAAGAACAAGACUCAGGAAGAAGACCUCCAGAAGAUCCCCCCCCCCCUUUUAUCUUUAGUUUCCUGAUUGGUUCGGUUGUCUUGUCUGCUUCUUAGAUUAGUUCUCAUUGUAUUUAGUAGGGAGGAUACACACCAGGUCCUAGGGCCUGUGAUUAGUUGACCGGUAGUACCUAAUCUGCUUUUUGUUGCUACAGUAAUGCUUUUAUGCCUGAGGACUACAGUUGACUUGUUAACUUGAGUGCAGUCCUAAAGUUUCCAUCAAUGAAACUGUCUUCAUGUUAAACUGUUCAUGUUGUUGUUGCCCAAAUGAGGAUGGGUUCCCUUUUGAGUCUGGUUCCUCUCGAGGUUUCUUCCUCAUGUUGUUGUCUGAGGGAGUUUUUCCUUGCCACCGUCGCCACAGGCUUGCUCAUUGGGGAUAGAUUAGUGACAAAAUUAGCUCAUGUUUUAAGUUGUUCAAAUUCUGUAAAGCUGCUUUGCGACAAUGUUUGUUAAAAGCGUUAGACUUAUGUUGAUUUUUGCUGACUCAUCGGGUGUUUUUCAAUGCCUUGGUUGUUUGCUUGUGUUUUAUGGAAAAAUAAACCAAAUAUCUGCUGCAAAA